rnacentral:lncRNA from 1 species
AUGUGUUGUGGCAUUGCAAAGCCAGAGAAAACGCAUUCAGAGAGCCCUGUGUAUACUUUUUCUGCCUUUCUUGGUGAGGAAGCCAAAGUUCAUAGAAGUGUAAGGUUACUCAUCCAGGCUAUACAGGGCAAUUCUUCAGGAAGAGGGACCAUUGGCAUUACUCGAAGUUUCAAAGACAGGGAGUUCAUCAGGAUGAGCAAAACCAGUUACCUCCAUUUCCCAUUUAGGACAAAGGCCACUAAAACCUUUAGGGAAGUCCUGGUAAAUGAAGAAGCAUUUCACAUUCAUUGAAAUGGAAAACACACAAAGAAAGGAGCUGGGUGGAUUAAAGCAAAUUAGGUAAAAAAAGAAGAAGAAGAAGUUGGUGUGAUAAAGGCAGGAACAAAGGAAAUGGAUGAGAUAAAGGAAGAAAGAGAAGGGGAGAUAAGUGCAAAGGCACAAGGAAACAAAGGAAAAAACUAGACCUUUCAAAUCCUUGGGAGAGUCCAGAAGAGUGCACAGUGAGGAAGAUAUUGUUUGUGCUUUGAACAAAAAUAGCAGUGUUUCUGAGUACCUAAGCCUUUACAAGCAAAUAGCCAGAGCAUCUGAUGACUACCUGGAUCGUUCAUACCAAGAUUUUAGAGUUUCUUGGUGAAUCAAGAUUAAAAUAACAUUUUCUUUUUGUUCCUAAUGUAUUUGUUUGAAUAUGAGUGAACAUGAUGUUAGAGAAAUAAGAUUUCCUCCUCUAUCCUAAGCCAAAAUUUAUAAUGUUUCCCCAUCUCCUAUGCUCUGUUUCCCCUCUGGUACCACUGUGAGGUUUGCCCUGACCUCUGGUAAAUUAUUUAAACAAAGAGGCUGUUAGACUGAUGUGUCUCUAAAGCUACGGCUGCUUGAGUAGGCAAACUAAAAUCAAAGCCUGUAGGAGGCUGGCCCCGUGACCGAGUGGUUAAGUUCACGUGCUCUGCUGCAGGCGGCCCGGUGUUUUGUUGGUUCCAAUCCUGGCUGCGGACAUGGCACUGCUCAUCAAGCCACGCUCAGGUGGUGUCCCACAUGCCACAACUAGAAGGACCCACAAUGAAGAAUAUACAACUAUGUUCGGGGGGGCUUUGGGGAGAAAAAAGAAAAAGAUAAAAAUCUUUAAAAAAAUAAAAUAAAAUAAAAUCAAAGCCUGUAAAUGCCU